rnacentral:rRNA from 1 species
UGGGGAAUAUUGGGCAAUGGGCGCAAGCCUGACCCAGCAACGCCGCGUGAAGGAAGAAGGCUUUCGGGUUGUAAACUUCUUUUGUCAGGGAAGAGCAGAAGACGGUACCUGACGAAUAAGCCACGGCUAACUACGUGCCAGCAGCCGCGGUAAUACGUAGGUGGCAAGCGUUGUCCGGAUUUACUGGGUGUAAAGGGCGUGUAGGCGGGAUUGCAAGUCAGAUGUGAAAUUCCGGGGCUCAACCCCGGAACUGCAUUUGAAACUGUAGUUCUUGAGUACUGGAGAGGCAGGCGGAAUUCCUAGUGUAGCGGUGAAAUGCGUAGAUAUUAGGAGGAACACCAGUGGCGAAGGCGGCCUGCUGGACAGCAACUGACGCUGAGGCGCGAAAGCGUGGGGAGCAAACA